CAGGCCUAACACAUGCAAGUCGAGCGGUAGCGGGAAGAGCUUGCUCUUUGCCGACGAGCGGCGGACGGGUGCGUAACACGUAGGAAUCUGCCCGGUAGUGGGGGAUAGCCCGGAGAAAUCCGGAUUAAUACCGCAUACGCACCAGCUCUUUAUGAGCGGUGGAAAGCAGGGGAUCAGUUCGCUGACCUUGCGCUAUCGGAUGAGCCUGCGUCGGAUUAGCUUGUUGGUGGGGUAAAGGCCUACCAAGGCGACGAUCCGUAGCUGGUCUGAGAGGAUGAUCAGCCACACUGGGGCUGAGACACGGCCCAGACUCCUACGGGAGGCAGCAGUGGGGAAUAUUGCACAAUGGGCGCAAGCCUGAUGCAGCCAUGCCGCGUGUGUGAAGAAGGCCCUAGGGUUGUAAAGCACUUUCAGUGGGGAGGAAAAGUUGAAGGUUAAUACCCUUUGGCUGUGACGUUACCCACAGAAGAAGCACCGGCUAACUCCGUGCCAGCAGCCGCGGUAAUACGGAGGGUGCGAGCGUUAAUCGGAAUUACUGGGCGUAAAGCGUGCGUAGGCGGCCACCUAAGUUGGAUGUGAAAGCCCCGGGCUCAACUUGGGAACUGCAUCCAAAACUGGGUGGCUGGAGUACGGGAGAGGAGUGUGGAAU
rnacentral:rRNA from 1 species